UACAGAGGGUGCAAGCGUUAAUCGGAGUUACUGGGCGUAAAGGGCGCGUAGGCGGUUAUAUGUGUGCAAUGUGAAAGCCCCGGGCUUAACCUGGGAAGUGCAAGGCAAACUGUAUAACUGGAGUAUAUGAGAGGGUGGCGGAAUUUCCGGUGUAGCGGUGAAAUGCGUAGAGAUCGGGAAGAACACCAGUGGCGAAAGCGCUCUGCUGGACUGCAACUGACACUGAGGGACGAAAGCUAGGGGAGCGAAAGGG
rnacentral:rRNA from 1 species